GCCACCAGGUGCGUGGAGGACUCGGGUGGAGCGCGCUGCGGCGCGUUCGGGUUUCCAAGGUGAAGGGGGCGGAGCUUCUGAGAGAAAGUUUCCACCGAAACUUGAACUGGCGCUUGACGCCUGACGCCUCGCCCUUGGAGGUUCGCCCUUCGCCGGAGCUUCACCUCUUCACACACAGCGCCAAAAUGAAUAAACAGCUGUCUACCACCACGGCGGCGGCGCUUGUAGGUGGCACCAGGGACGCAGGAUGAACAUGCUGCAUUUCUCAAGAUUCACCAGCGUUUACUCAUGCUAAAGCUCAUAGGACUGUAGAUCUUAACAUCCCUAUGAGGGAGAGGACAAAGGAAACCACUCUGUCUAAGAAAAGCAGACACUAAGAUGCAACACAGAAGAGUGAGUGGC